rnacentral:rRNA from 1 species
GGUAGUCCACGCCGUAAACGAUGUCGACUUGGAGGUUGUGCCCUUGAGGCGUGGCUUCCGGAGCUAACGCGUUAAGUCGACCGCCUGGGGAGUACGGCCGCAAGGUUAAAACUCAAAUGAAUUGACGGGGGCCCGCACAAGCGGUGGAGCAUGUGGUUUAAUUCGAUGCAACGCGAAGAACCUUACCUGGUCUUGACAUCCACGGAAGUUUUCAGAGAUGAGAAUGUGCCUUCGGGAACCGUGAGACAGGUGCUGCAUGGCUGUCGUCAGCUCGUGUUGUGAAAUGUUGGGUUAAGUCCCGCAACGAGCGCAACCCUUAUCCUUUGUUGCCAGCGGUCCGGCCGGGAACUCAAAGGAGACUGCCAGUGAUAAACUGGAGGAAGGUGGGGAUGACGUCAAGUCAUCAUGGCCCUUACGACCAGGGCUACACACGUGCUACAAUGGCGCAUACAAAGAGAAGCGACCUCGCGAGAGCAAGCGGACCUCAUAAAGUGCGUCGUAGUCCGGAUUGGAGUCUGCAACUCGACUCCAUGAAGUCGGAAUCGCUAGUAAUCGUGGAUCAGAAUGCCACGGUGAAUACGUUCCCGGGCCUUGUACACACCGCCCGUCACACCAUGGGAGUGGGUUGCAAAAGAAGUAGGUAGCUUAACCUUCGGGAGGGCGCUUACCACUUUGUGAU